UAUUAUCUAUUUUUUCCAAUUAAAUGCUAUUCUUAUGCUUUUCUUUAUUGACAAUUAAAUGCAUUAUUUCUUUCUGUAUAAUAUUGCUUAAAGUUCAAUUUUUAAAAUUUUUUUUUUAUUUUCAAAUUUCAUUUUACAAGCAGAUAUUCAUCAAAUUAAAUAAUAGUUCUCAUAGAUUUAUUGACUUCCAAAUUAAACAAUGCAACACAUGUAAAAUGUUACCAUCAAGGUUGGUCGUGCCGUACUAGAGCCCACACCAAUUGGCCGGCGACACGAUUUGGCAUACUCCUGUGCUGUGUUGUGCUGGGCAUGAACCGAUGCAGUAGAGAGAGAGCAAGGAAGAAGGAGAAUCAGAGAGAAACAGAGAAAGGGGGAAG
rnacentral:lncRNA from 1 species